ensembl:snoRNA SNORA70 Small nucleolar RNA SNORA70
UUGCAGCCAAUUAAACUGACCGUGCUCUUUUCCCCAUGGGAGCCCAGUGUGCAAUGGCUGCAAACAGCGGCCUCCUCGGUAGUGUAUGCAGCCUGUUGCCUGUAUAGGUUGCCCUAAGGGACCUUGGUGACAGCC